rnacentral:rRNA from 1 species
AUUGAACGCUGGCGGCAGGCUUAACACAUGCAAGUCGAGCGAGCGGCGGACGGGUGAGUAAUGUCUGGGAAACUGCCUGAUGGAGGGGGAUAACUACUGGAACCGGUAGCUAAUACCGCAUACCAUCAGAUGUGCCCAGAGUGGAUUAGCUAGUAGGUGGAGUAAUGGCUCACCUAGGCGACGAUCCCUAGCUGGUCUGAGAGGAUGACGAGCAACACGGGAGCUGAGACAAGGUCCAAACUGCUACGGGAGGCAGCAGUGGGGAAUAUUGCACAAUGGGCGCAAGACUGAUGCAGCCAUGCCGCGUGUGUGAAGAAGGCCUUCGGGUUGUAAAGCACUUUCAGCGAGGAGGCGUUACGCGCAGAAGAAGCACCGGCUAACUCCGUGCCAGCAGCCGCGGUAAUUC